CCUACGGGAGGCAGCAGUGAGGAAUAUUGGUCAAUGGGCGAGAGCCUGAACCAGCCAAGUCGCGUGAAGGAUGACGGCCCUACGGGUUGUAAACUUCUUUUGUCAGGGAGCAAUUGGGUCCACGCGUGGGCUUAGCGAGAGUACCUGAAGAAAAAGCAUCGGCUAACUCCGUGCCAGCAGGCGCGGUAAUACGGAGGAUGCGAGCGUUAUCAGGAUUUAUUGGGUUUACAGGGUGCGUAUGCGGAAUAUCAAGUCAGCGGUAAAAAGUCGGGGCCCAAACCCGUCGUGCCGUUGAAACUGAUGGUCUUGAGUGGGCGAGAAGUAUGCGGAAUGCGUGGUGUAGCGGUGAAAUGCUUAGAUAUCACGAAGAACCCCGAUUGCGAAGGCAGCUUACUAAACUGUGACUGACAUUGAUGCUCGAAAGUGUGGGUAUCAAACAGGAUUAGAUACCCGUGUAGUC
rnacentral:rRNA from 1 species